AUUUUUCAUAGACCAGAGGGAAUGAGCAUGCAGGAUCAUAUCAGAACAAGCCCAGCAUUUCCUGUUGGGGCCAGCUCAUGGCAUGCAUCACAUAAAAGCACGUGUAAUGAGGAAAAACAUUUCAGCUAGGUCUUUCUCAAUAGGCCAACCAUGAGAAUGCUUCCACCCAGGUCAUAACCUCUGAAGAUAACUGGAAGACUUCCAAUGUCAUGAUGAAAUCAAGCCCACUAUUCCUCACCAGUGUGCAUUACAGCUCAAUCUCCAUCCACGGUUGCUGAUCCCCAGAGCUCGCAGCCCACUGAGAUCCCUCACGUCCCGGAGACCAGGAGACCCUCUGACCUAAUCUGUUCACCUCCUCCCACACUGAAGAAGUGUUAUAGGCCACCGCCGUCAGCUCCCUGUCACACUCUGCGCAUGAAAGAGAACAGAACUUGCUCAAACAACCCCAGAUUUCUCCUGUGACACCUUUGCAGCCUGCAGGACAGAAUGCACUGGAACACAAGAGGAGUGAACAUACAGCAUUCCAUCUACUUCAGUGUGUGCCCAAGCACAGGGGCCUCUCCUUAUUCAGGCCAGGAGCGGCAGUCUGCUGCCCUGCUUACAAAGCAAACACUCUGAAACCCAGCCAAGGAGGAGAGCUGCAUUCCAGUCGGUCACCCUAACACACAUUUUAAAAAUCUCUACAUCCAGGGCCAACCCAUUAAGGCCCUCUGUAGUUUAACCUACGUACUGGACCUUGGUUCCACCAUAAAAAUAUAAUAUAACUACAGUGUUAAUGUAUUUAUUAUUUAUAUCCUAUUAAAGUUUUUAUUCAGAUUUUGAAUUUGAUUUGAUUUAAUUUUUUUUAUUAUUUUUUGUUUGUUUAAAUAUUGUUUUUGCUUUAGUUUUAGUUUUUCAGUUAGUAAUUUUAAUACGUCAACUUUUUUUUACCUAAUAUUUAUCAUUUAUUUAUCUUAUUUCAAUUAACAAUUUAAAAAAAUAGUUAAUGAUAAUAACCCUGAUUAUACCUAAUAUACAGUAAUGCUUAAAGAUUGACCUUUAAAGACGUUACUUUACUGUAAUCUACUUUGACACAUGUAAGGAUGUUUAUUUAACGUUCUGUGCAUGACCUCCGGUAGGGCGGUUCACAUGUGAUGUUGGAAACGAGAAUAAACAGUAAUUGAGAUUAGGAUGGGAACUGCUCCCACUCUCAGAGUCAGCUGAAGUGCUGUUUACUGAGUAAGCUGUACAUUUCAAGAACAAACAGUCCCUGGUGUGUUUACUCUGAUCAUAUACAACUCGCUCAGAGCAAGAAGAUCCAUGGGGCCACAUGCCAUAAGCUCUUAUUUUGUUGAUGGAUUUGUGGAUUCCUUUUUGGUCUACUGUUUAUAGGUGCAUGGAAAGGAAUGGGAAGUGUGCCGGACAU